UGCUCCCAAGCAGUGCUCACCGCUAGCACAGCAACUGGUGCAGGAAUUGCAGCCUCUGGGAGAGGAGGGAGCCUUGCAAAGGUCACUGGGGGAUUUUUGGCAGGCAGAAGUCACAUCACUCUCUCUCAGGUACCUCCUGCCCUCCCCGCUGCCUCCUGGGUAUACAGGGAGAAGCAGCAGGCUCUGGACAGAUGUUUCUGGGACCCCUCCUACUGUGAAGGGGCCAGGAGGGAUAAAAGGAGCCUUUGUCUUUAGGGAGGUGAGGGCAAAGACUUGAUUGCUGUACCAGGGUCUCCUUCCAGCCCACUGCCCAUAGCCCUGCUUCCUUCACAGUUUUCCCACUGCUGCCUCCAUCUCCCAUUUCACCUCCACUCCCCAGGCUGGAAAAUGCCCCCAGCUUUCCUGGGAACCUGCACGCUACAGCAGAACAAGAAAUGCAACCUAAAAAUAGCCAAAAGGAGCCAGCAAAUCUAUUGGUCUCCCUCCACCUCCAGUCUCUGUAACAGCCCAUUAGCUCUCUGCAAGGCUCUGGGUCUGAUCAGCUUUAACCGAAACAGGGGUUCUUUAUCCAGCAGUGCCGCAGUGCUGGGAAUGCUGGAAAACCACUAAGCACAGAGCCAGGCUGUCCUCUGAGGGGAGGCAGACAUGCUGCCACCCGCACAUUCCGGAGUCGCCUGGGGAGCAGAGCAGAGCAGUGAUACAACGACCGCCCUGCUCACCCAUUCCCAGCAAUUUCCCAGCCAAAAGACAACAACAGGGCUGUCGGUCCAGUUGGGGUUGGAGCUGCAUUUCUUCUCAUGUGGCCAUGCAGGAUACGGGUGUCCCAGGGGACCCACUGCAGCCCCGCUGGAGAGCAGUUCAGACAUGAGCACGGGCUCACAAGCAAUGCCUGUGAGCUCAGCUUGAGGACUGCGAGAUGUGGGGAUGGCAAUGCUCAGCCCAUGUGCCCCUGCAUGCCAGCAGUGCUCCCCCCGCUGUGUCACGGUCACCAGACUCAUUGCGAAAAGCUCGUGUUCGCCAUGACCUCUUCUCCUUGGGAGGGUCUGUGGGAAAGCAGUGCUGGCAGCUAGCACCACUGCUGCCUUCUCCAUCUCAGCAAUUUCUCCUUCCUCCUCCUCCUCCUCCUCCUCCCGCAUGCCCUGAGGCUGCUCCUGGCUCAGCCCACACACCUCCAUGCUGCACCCACAGAAGCAAAUCCCCAUGCACACCCCACUCCCCUCCCAGCAGACACAUCGUGCCAGCUCCACUUUUGUAAAAGGCUGAGAAACUCUCUGAUGCUUUGUCAGCUCCUUCCGCCUCAUCCCUCCCUCCUAGACUUCCCAAGGCAGAGCAGACCUCCCACAGCCAUACUUUCAUCCCUCCCACUGCGAGCACCCCGUCCCUCGCCCUGCAUCAGGAAGGGGCACCCAGGAACCGGUGCUCCCCUAUGCUACGGGAUGCUGCAGCCCAGUGCCACAUAAGGCAGCGCACAGCUCCUAGGAAAGUUUACAAGCCCUCACAUGCUGCAUGCUUUGCAUUCGGCUACCAAGAGGAUGAAUUUCUGUUUUUCAUCCUUUUACUUAUUUCUUUAUUUUCCUAAAAGCAUCCAGCUCUCAAAAAGGCAAAGAAGAGCAGGUUUGGUGUAAAAAUGAAUCUCUUCUGCCCAUCAAAAACUUUCUUCCAAGAUUUAAGUGAGCAUCCCUGCCCCGUUGCUUCCUCCCUUCGCCUGCUGAAGCAGGCACAAAGAGCUGGCUCUGAGCCAAGCUGCUCCCUCUAAUGGGGGUGGCAAAGGCAGUGCAAUGUGCCCCGGGAGUGGGCUGCGUGAUCCAGACGUGGACUUUGCCUGUUGGGAAGGAAAGCAUCGUGCAGAAAAAGGUGCUGAAAAUUGCUUCUGAGGCAUCCAGAUGUUGUUUGGCUGCGCCAUCCCACCUCAAUCUACAAUCCCAGCCCUCCUCCUGUAGGAGCAGGACCCUGCAGCGGCCCCCCCACCCCAUUCUCUGCACACCCAGAGCUCAGUGACCCAGUGCCCACAAUGCACAGAGUGACGGUGGUUCCCUGGGAGCAGUCCCGACUCCAGAGGUGUGUGCUCUCCCCUCAACCUCUCCCCCUCCUUGCACGCUUUCCGGACUGCUUUCCCAGGCGGGGGACUGCCCUGGGCACGGCUUGGGCUGAGCAGCCCCCUGCCCACCCCCAGCUCUCCUACUCGGCUGGGGAACUGAGCCUGCGUGUGGUUGGGAGCCGCCACAGAAAGCACCUGGCCGUAGGCACAACGCUGUCCCACACGGGACUUUGUUAUGCUUUCAGCCCCCUCCUCCCCCAGACUGCCCCACGCUGAGCAAAACUCUUGCGAAAACAGAGCAAAGUGAAGGAAGAAGAGACUCCAGCUGCUGAAGAACAGAAAAGAAAAAAAAAAAUGAAAAAAAAAAAAAACAAGAAGAGAGAGAAAAGGAACAGCAAAUGCUGCUGUGCAUGUAAGAGACGCUGGAGAGGGCAGGAGCAUCGUGGACCAGUGCAGCGUCCAGGCUUGGACAUCAGGCAAGGCGAGGAAUUUCUCGCGGAGUCCAAGUUCUGAAUCCACCUUCAAAGCUGUCCUGUUGAUUUGUGAGCUGCAGCCCUGCACGUGGCUCUGGCCAUCACAUGCUCUGCAUAUGGCAUGGCUGCAGAGAAACAUUCCCCAGCUCUUGCAGGCAAAAGGGAUGCUGGAGGCAGCUGGUGGCAUGCCUGCUGCCAUGGGUUUUGUUGGCCCUGGUCAUCCCUAGUGCCACCUCCCUUUGGCUGAUGCCCCUUCCUAUCCUGCUUCUGGCCCUCCCUUGUGCAUUUGCUCUGAAGAGGUUUGCAACAGAAAUACCACUUUGGUCUGGCGGAGGUAGGGAAGGAAAUGUCUUGAGUGUGAAAGCACUGACAGGCAGAGCCAGGGCUGUGAGAACAGCCUGUCCCAACCAGGCAGAUCAGCAGGCAGCUGCCGAGUGGGUCCAUGGAGAGCAGGGAGCUCUUCAGCAGGAUCUGUGGCUGCACCUGGAUGGGCAUGAGCUGCAGCAUGCACAGGGGGAACAACAGGCAGAGAGGGGCUAGGGAUGGGGAUCUGAGCAAAUCUGUGGCAAGACCACUCUGUGAAAGCCAUUUAGAGCCAGCGGUCCCAGCCCUAGCACUGUCAGAAGUAGACUAUUGCAGUGCAAUAGACUUUUCAAACACUGACAAGCAAAGAGUUGACCCCAGACUGGAUUCCCCUUCCCUAAGCUACAGCCUGAGAUGCCCAAAAAUAAUGUCCAGGACAGAGGAAGAUGCUUAUUCUUCAUGUUAUGACAGCAUUGGCUGCCCCAUUCCAAGCCAAGCCUCCACUCUGCUCGGUGCUGUACAAACAUAGAUGAUUAAUGGAGUGGUGCUUCUUUCUGACAGCCAGAUCUCCAAACUCCCCUUGGAGAGCUCAAAACAUUAAAAAAUAAAAAAAUCAGAAAGGGAAAAAAUAAAGAGAGGAAACCCAAGCUGCCCCUGUGGCCAGCAGGUCAGAUCAGCGUGUGCUUUAUGCACAAUGUCAAAGCAGCCUGCCCUUGCCGAGCAUCUCGGCACUGGGAAGUCAUGUCCCCAGUCCACCCCACCCAUGGGUGCUGCUGUGGUGACCUGGUGUUGUAGGAAGGGGUCCUAAGCAGGGACAGGGGAAGCCCUGAGCCGCAGCUCCCCUGGGGCUCUGCAUACCCCACCAGCACCUCCAUGUGAAGUGCAGGGUGUUGCCACCAGCCUGCAGAAUUAAGCUGUGUCCCCCCCACCCCAGCUCACCACAGGGCUCCUUCCCAGGAGCCAGAAGGCUGGGAAAGCAUCACCAGGAGAAACAUAUGGCUACAAACAUAUGGCUCCAGAGGUGGAAGUGAGCAAAGGGGAAAAGUAUGCUGCUCUGUCAUGCAUGGAUCCUGCUCUCCCGACACUGCGAUGCUGCGGGAUGCACUUCCUCCCCUGGCUGCAUGCAGGGCUGAGCAGAGCACGCCUGCUUCCAUCUCCAGCAAACAGCUGGAAACACACUCCUUGAAUGUAGCUGCAAGGAAGAUGUGUGGAAGGUGCUUGAAACGGUUCUCAAACAACGCAGCCCCCAGCCCCAAGUGCUCCAGAGGCAAAAAGAUGUGGGGGUUCAGCCCAGAGCUUGGCUGGGGUGGGCGACUGGAUCACUUUGGUCAACACAGCACAGCAAGAGGUGGAGGUGGAGGAAAUUGGUAUCAUCUCCUCACAGAUACGCAUAGCCCAAACACUGGUUCCUUCCUUCCAAGCAGGGCCUGGCCCCUCCAUCCAUCCCUGAGCAUCUCUUGCUGCUGGAACCAGGAUCCAAAAACCCCGUGGACCAAGACAUGCUGCUUCACCCGCUCAGACAGAGGCAGAUGGAGCCAGGCUGGAAAGAAUGAGCUGCCCUUGAUUGCAAGUGAGAAACACAACUGAAAAAGCCAGCUGACCUUUGCCCCAACCAGGUGUUUAAAAAGAAAGAGAGGAAAAACAAGAAAUAAUCCUGUUUUGAGCACAGCUGCUGUUUUGGUCAUUAAAUGUACAGGCAAAUCGCCUCUCAGGAUCAUCCUCAGCAGUUGGGUGCCCAAGCACAGGCGCUGCGGCAGCCAGGGAAGGGUUAGGGAAUGGAAAACGCCUGCAAGCUGCUCGUCCCACAGCCCCACCAGAGCUGACGCAGUGAAGGAAUGCAAACCCCAAUGCCUCUCGCUUGCAGCCAUAAACCCCUUCCUGCUUGGCUGUUGCCAGAGACGUGACGAAGCAGGACAAGCCAGAUAGAAUCAGGACAGCGCCGGUGGCCAGUCCUGCCCCUGAUACAGGCCAAGAUGCAGGGAGGAGAGAAACGGGAUCUGCAUCCCCCAUUGCCUGGGGAAACUGAGGCAGGAAGGAGCUCUGUGCUAAGCCAGCUGUAUUUUCCAUUUCCCUUUACACAACCUGCAGUAUUUCCCAAGCAAUGCCAUGGUUUUAUUGUUAUUCCUCUUUCUGCCUUGGCAUGGGGGAGCUGGCACACGUACAGCAGCAUGAGCACUUUACAGCCUAGCACUGAGGUUUGUCUCAUCCCCAGUGCUGAGUCUGCGAUCACCUCGUGGGGAUGCAGUGCUUCCCCAUGGGGCUGAGACCUAGCAAACUCAUUGCUGGAACAGCCCGAGGAAGACUUGGUCCAAGUAAACGACAAAGUGCAGGGAGGAGCUCAAAGCUAACGAAGCAGAAGGGAAGUGUCAUUGCAAUACAUGGGGACCCCAUCCUUGCUGCGUGUUCACAGAUCGCUGGCAGUGGGGCUGGCCCAUACCCAGUGGUGGCCAUAGCACAGCUGCCAGCGCCACUUGGUCUGCACUGUCACCACUGAGCCCGCCCAGCAUGCCCCUAGCCCCUUCCUCCCCAUCCCAUAUCUCCCGGGCUAUUCUCGUGGCUGCUUUAAGCGCAGGGAGGGGAUACAAAAUUCAUCAGACCUCACAUUUCUCGGGGAUUAAAUCAUCUGUCUCAUUUCUCUGAGGGAGAGAAGUCCAACCCCCCCUUUUUUUUUUCCUGCAGGGCCGAGCAGCCACUCAUUAGCUCUUGGCAGCGGGGCACGGCGCGGGGCCAAGUGCUGCUGCGUGCUCAGCUCACAGCCACAGUGCUGGGGUCUCGGAACUGAGGGGGACAAACCAGGACCCCUUCCCUGCCCCAGAGCACCCCUGCCUGCAUCACCCCCGGCUCAGUGACACCCAGCCUUGCCACUGGGACAUCGUGUCUUCUCCUGUCCUGGGGUGAGUGGCCCAGUCCGCUCAGUUCUUCUCUGCUGGUUCAGCAGUGGUUUGCACUGAGAGUGCAUGUGACACAAGGACCUUUCUUCCCCUUUCUGACAGUAGCCACCAGGAGUGUGGAAAACACCCCCCAUCAUUCCCCAUCUGCGUGUACUUUGGAAAGGACAGGCCUAUCCUCAUUAGGGCUGCAUGCAACAUUACGGCUGAUACUUUAGAUAAGCUAAGAGAAUGUUACCCCAGGCACAGGCUCUGGGGCUCGUGCCUAUCCCUAGGGCUGCUUCUGAGGAAGCUGCUGCAUCCACCUUGACCCAGUGUCACUGCUCCACCACAGAGGUCCCAGGGCAAGAAAGUGACAUCGUGUUCCCUCAUCCCUGGGGUCUGCAAGAGACCCUGCCAGGCUCCAGCACACCCUACUCCACUUCUCCAGACCUUGGAAGCCCCAGGAUGUCCUCUCCAUGCUCUUCACAAGCGGUUUGACCACUCACUGAACUGGGCCAUAUGUGAUGGGUUUCACAGUAUGUCUUGUAUGAAAGUCGAGCUGGGAGCAAACCAUUUGGCAGCUGAGCAGAGGACGAGCAGCAGCAGCACUGGCCAGCCCUAGCAGAGCAGGUGCUCAGCCAAGCCCUAUUUCACCCCUGGUUUUGGUUAUUUUUUUGGCUGCAGAGCCCUAAAUCCCCAGAGGUGCAAUUUAUUACCCCUGGGGAUAAAUGGUACUGAUCUGGGGACCUGCACUGUCCUUCUCCAGCAGAGGGUCAUGGCAAAAAUGGGUCCCCAGAAAGGCACAGGGACAAGGGCAGGUGACCAAGUAACCCCCCAGUGACUGACUGCCUUACCCAUCAAUGACACAAAGCAAGGGAGCUCAUGUGAUGUUAGGCAGCAUCUCAGAUCCAGAUGCUUCGGAAGACACCCAAAAGUACAUGGAAAUGCUUCAGAGAGAUCCUGGAAGGAGCUUGGGUGGCUGGGAGCCACCUCCUCCUGCCCUGCAGUCCCCAGUGGCACCACAGACCCCAUGGGCGCUGGGAUAUUGCUGCUGCCCAGAGACCUCAGAUGGGGAGGAAUCCCCUCCUAUUCCUGCCCUCCUGCCCCCACCACCCUCCACCUGCUUGUCACCCCCCCCCCGCACGCAAAGGCAGCAGCAGUGCCUGCUCCCCAUUAGCAGCUUUCUGGGAGCCAGGGCUGGGAACAGACCAGCAAACACAGAUCCAGCAUGCCGGAUCUGAUCACUAGCAUCCUCCCUCAGGGCUCCUCCACACCACCCACCCCACAUCCAUCCCACCAUCCCCCCCAUCCUUCCCACCCAGGAAUGGGAUUGCCUGCACCCCCAGCCCCAUGGCAAGCCUCGGGGGAGGACGCGCUGCCCCACAUUCUCUCUGCAGCGCCACGUGCUCUGGCAAAGCUUUGCAGAUGGCCCCAUGCUGGCACCCCACAGCUGCUGUCAGUUGAGACAAGCUGUGCAGUUGCUUGCUCUCCAGCAGGAACAUUUGAUUUAGCACCUGAUAGAAGAAGACAUCUCUCCCCUCUCCUUGCUGUUCACAUAGGGCAGGAGCUGGCUGCGCUCCCUGGUGCAACUCCUGCUGCUCAAAAUGCUGCUGCCCACACUGGGGCAGGGACAGGGCAUCGUGCCUCAGCCCGUGGUGGCAGGGAAGGCUCCUGGGGGCAGCUUGGAGCUGAAAAAGUGGACAGUGUUGGCCAGAACAAGAACAAGGCAGUGAUUCAAUGAAAUGAAGCGCACUGGAAACCAUGAAAGCAAAUAUUCCAAGCCAAGCACACAAUUAGCUGGUGGGACCCACCACCACAAGAUGCCGCUCAGGCCAAAGGGCUCUGUGGGGAUUUAAAUAAAUAUGUGAAAAAUAUGCGAGGGAAUGCCCGCACAUAGGGAGACUGCUGUCAUUCAGGGUGGCAGGAGCAACAGGGACAAGGACUCCAAGGAGCAGAGAAGUGCUGGGGACAUAAAAGCAAAGGAGUCAUCAAGCUGUGGUGGACAUCUGCUUGUUUCUCAGGUGAUGCACUAUGCCCCUUGGAGGAUGGAAGAGGUUACCCAGCUGCCGGCACGUAGGUGACACAGCUCCCCCCUGGCUGCAGCGCUGUCCCAAAGCCUCUGUCACCUCCCUUGCUCUGUCUGGGCUUCUCUUCUGGCUGUUUGCAAAGGAAACACCUGAGCCACAUCUGGCCCUUCCAGCCCUCCCUUGGGUUUGGCCAUCAUCCCUGCCUCCUCCUCCUUGUCCAGUAUUUUUCCUCUCCAAAGGCAGAAGCCAGCCGGCUGCUUCCCUCAUACAACUUCAGCUGCACUGCAAGCCUGGCUGCUCCUCACGGUGAGGGGGCACAAAGUGCUGCAGCCCACCAGUGCCUGGGAGACUGCUUCCACUCCCAGCAUCUGCUCCCCCACAGUGGCCUCAGAGACGUUAACUGGGGUCAUACGGGCUAAGGCUAAUGGACCUGGAGGGUAAGACCAGCUCCUUCCCAGUAUGCAGCCCCCACUGGAGAAGGCAUGGCUGGGGGCAUCCCGCUGUUGAUCUUGUUUCUUAACAAAUAUGCUCCUCCAAUGAUGACUCGACAGUGCAUUACAGGCAGAAUGACGAUGCUGUCCCUUCCAGCACAGCAGCCUCUUGCCUGCUCAGCAGUCCCCUGGAAAACCUCAGCCUCAGCAACAGACACCUCCAACAGCCUCACCAUGACAGCUGCCAAAGGCACGUGAGAUAUCCCGAGCUGAGGGCUGGGCUGGAUGUCCCAGGUGGGACAUUUCCUACAAGCCUUCUGUUGGUGUGCACUGAGCGUGCAGCAGUGGCAGCCCUUAGCUCCACACUGGUGUCUGUGUGUGUGUGCUGGGAAGGUGAAAGCAGAGCACAGAGGGCUGGGGGUGACAGAUACACAGCCUGAUCUGGGAAGCAAUCUCAGUGGCCCUGUUCUACUGCUUCUCAUUACACUCGGUGCAGAUUUGCCUAAAUUGCUUGGCGGAGUGUGAGUAGCAAACAGGCCUCAUCAAAACCCCAGAGAUAGCCAGAAACGGCUCCAAAUAUUACAGCUAUAAAUUCAGCUCAUUCCUAUAACUGCUCAGAGCUGCCAGGGAGGUUGACUCAAUCUCUCUCUUGGUAACCUUGUGCCAAACCCCACUGGGCACUGUUCCCCUGCAGCUCCUCACCAGGGUCUGCAACAUGCAUUCCAACCUACCCCAAGUUCCCACUGGUGCAGCCCCCACUCCCACACCCCUUCUGCCCCCAGGGUCCCACCAUCUAUUCCCCCACCUUCCCUACUGCCGGUUUUCCCCUCUCCCUUUGAACCACAGCCACUUUUGCAGCACUGCUUGGACCAUUCAGAUGCACUUAGGCUGCUCCUUGAAACCCUUCCUGCCUCUGCCUUGUGCUUUUGCAAGCAAAGGCUCCAUGGUCUCCUCUCAGGCUCUUUCAGGGAAGGCAGAUCCCACUGGAGAUGGGUUUCUUUUCUCUCCAUGCUGAGUUUUCCCAUACUCUUCUUUUCACAUGCUGGACCACACCCAAGCAUCUGGCUGCCCCAGACACAGGAUGGACCCAGCCCCACUGCUCCCCUGCAGAAGGUACUUGCAGAAGCUGAUGGAAGGCAGAGCUGAGCUGCCAGAGCCGUAAAAUCAGCCGUCAGGAGCCCUCUCAAAAGCUGCUGUGCCUACUGCUGCAUUUGCCAGGGAGGGACAGGAUGGAUCCAGCUCAGAGCAAAACACAGGCAGCCCUGGAGUGGGGGGCAAAGCAGCCACCCUGCGGACAUCAACCCCCAAAGCUUCCUACAGCAACAGCACCAUCUGGAAGGACUGCUUUCUGCUGGGUUCAUAUCAACAUGGCUGAGAAUUGAAGAUUAAACACCAAAUGGUGCAAAUCUGCACUGGGACUGGGCGAGGAGAUGGGCAGUGGGGAGGGGGUCUCUAUUGGAGCUGAGGCAGAGCUAGCUGAGCCUCCAUCCCCAAAGCUCUACCCCAAACCUCACCUCCAGCCCUCAACCCCAAAACUCCCUCCCCAAACCUCCAUCCCCAAAUUGCCUGGGCUGGGCUGCAGGCUGCACAGUUCUGCAUCUAUGGCACUGGGUCAGCUGUGCACAUCAGCCCCCCCAUCUCCCAGAGAUCCCCUCAGAGUCCCUGUCAGUGUUCCCAGCAGGACCACCACCUGCUGCCCCACACAGCACCAGGCCAGCCCCCUUGCAUGCUGCCCCCUGUACAGUGGACACCAUUCAGUGUCAUUAGCAGUAUGUGUAAUGAUUCCAAUUAGGAGAGCUGGAAAGCUCCAGGGAGCUGUGGCUCUGCUUUCCCAAAUGUCAGGUGGAGGUGGAACAGCAGAGGAAGUGUGUUCAUCUCGAAGGCAUCCGUGCUGCUGCUCCAGCAGAGGCAGAUGCUCUGGUAGCAGCAUCUGCAGCCCCGCAACUCACUGAGGAUCUGCUCUCGUGCGGGUGGAGGGCUGCAAAACCACAGCCAAACCCCAAAACCGUGACCAAGGCAGCUCCAAGCCUUUGGCUGUUUUUCCCAGCAUCUUCAUAACGCGGCCAGGGAGCACAAUUGCUUGGGAAAUGGUGGCACUGAUCCUUCUCUAGCGCUACCAGGAACUGGGUUUGGGGACAUUUUCUGAGAGGAGGGGGCAGCAUGGGGCUGGCCUGGUGGUGGCAGCGCUCACAGUGGGUCAGCAUCUCUGCACCCAGGCUGGCAGUGGACCUCUGGGGGCAAAGGCGGCUGCCACCCAUGCAGCCUGUUUGUUUUCCAGUGCAGAGCGGGAUUUUGCUGGAGCUGGAGGAAUACAUCUCACUGAAAGAGCCUUGUUUUUCAUGGAGGAAAUGAGACAGCACACUUUUAAUAGGAAAUAAAAACACGUAAAAUAAAGAGAAACUGAGACACAG